rnacentral:ncRNA from 1 species
GGGCGGGUCCCCGGGGGGGGUCCCCGGGCCGGCGCCCCGCCUCGGCCGGCGCCUAGCAGCCGGCUUAGAACUGGUGCGGACCAGGGGAAUCCGACUGUUUAAUUAAAACAAAGCAUCGCGAAGGCCCGCGGCGGGUGUUGAAGCGAUGUGAUUUCUGCCCAGUGCCUUGAAUGUCAAAGUGAAGAAAUUCAAUGAAGCGCGGGUAAACGGCGGGAGUAACUAUGACUCUCUUAAGGUAGCCAAAUGCCUCGUCAUCUAAUUAGUGACGCGCAUGAAUGGAUGAACGAGAUUCCCACUGUCCCUACCUACUAUCCAGCGAAACCACAGCCAAGGGAACGGGCUUGGCGGAAUCAGCGGGGAAAGAAGACCCUGUUGAGCUUGACUCUAGUCUGGCGCUGUGAAGAGACAUGAGAGGUGUAGAAUAAGUGGGAGGCCGGGCGCGCGCUCGGCGUCGCGGGGCGACCCGCGGCGCCGGCGUCCCGGCCGCCGGUGAAAUACCACUACUCUGAUCGUUUUUUCACUUACCCGGUGAGGCGGGGGGGCGAGCCCCGAGGGGGGCUCUCGCUUCUGGCGCCAAGCGCCCGGCGCGUGCCGGGCGCGACCCGCUCCGGGGACAGCGGCAGGGGGGGGGUUUGACUGGGGGGGGACAACUGGCAAAGCGGAACG